AAAAUAAAGUAUGAAUGGAAAUGUCUUGUCAGGUGUUCACCGACAGGUCCUUCUGACGACGAUCGGCUGGUUCCUCGGCUACCACCUGACUAAAUAUGAAAAUUACGUGCACGCCAAACUGGACCGAGAGAUGAACGAGUACAUGAAACUUCACCCGGACGACUUUGCACCAAAGGAAAAGAAGACCUUUGCUGAGAUCGUGGAGCCUUUCAUUCCUGUGCGCUGAGCUGUCAUGUCACAUCUUUCCUGUCCAAUAUUCUUCUGUACAUAAUUCAGUAAAAUUAAUGACAAC